rnacentral:rRNA from 1 species
GGGCCCGCACAAGCGGUGGAGUAUGUGGUUUAAUUCGAUGCAACGCGAAGAACCUUACCAGGGUUUGACAUCCUGCGAAUCUCUUGGAAACGAGAGAGUGCCUUCGGGAACGCAGUGACAGGUGGUGCAUGGCUGUCGUCAGCUCGUGUCGUGAGAUGUUGGGUUAAGUCCCGCAACGAGCGCAACCCACGUCUUUAGUUGCCAGCAUUCAGUUGGGCACUCUAGAGAGACCGCCGGUGAUAAACCGGAGGAAGGUGUGGAUGACGUCAAGUCAUCAUGCCCCUUACAUCCUGGGCUACACACGUACUACAAUGCUACGGACAAAGGGCAGCAAACUCGCGAGAGCUAGCAAAUCCCAUAAACCGUGGCUCAGUUCAGAUCGUAGGCUGCAACUCGCCUACGUGAAGUAGGAAUCGCUAGUAAUCG